UACAGAGGUCUCAACCGUUGUUCGGAUUCAUUGGGCGUAAAGGGUGCGUAGGCGGUCGUGCAAGUCGGAUGUGAAAUCUCAGGGCUCAACCCUGAAACUGCAUUCGAUACUGCGCGGCUAGAGUGCUGGAGGGGAGACUGGAAUUUACGGUGUAGCAGUGAAAUGCGCAGAUAUCAGGAGGAACACCGGUGGCGAAGGCGGGUCUCUGGGCAGUAACUGACGCUGAGGAGCGAAAGCGUGGGGAGCGAACAGG
rnacentral:rRNA from 1 species